CUACGGAGGAUCCAAGCGUUAUCCGGAAUCAUUGGGUUUAAAGGGUCCGUAGGUGGAUAAUUAAGUCAGAGGUGAAAUCCUGCAGCUCAACUGUAGCAUUGCCUUUGAUACUGGUUAUCUUGAGUUAUUAUGAAGUAGUUAGAAUAUGUAGUGUAGCGGUGAAAUGCAUAGAUAUUACAUAGAAUACCGAUUGCGAAGGCAGAUUACUAAUAAUAUACUGACACUGAGGGACGAAAGCGUGGGGAGCGAACAGGAUUAGAAACCCUAGUAGUCC
rnacentral:rRNA from 1 species